UCGAGAAUCAUUCACAAUGGGGGCAACCCUGAUGGUGCAACGCCGCGUGGAGGACGAAGGCCCUAGGGUCGUAAACUCCUGUCAUUAGAGAGUAAGGCAUGUGCGUUAAUAGCGUGCAUGUUUGAUAGUAUCUGAAGAGGAAGGGACGGCUAACUUCGUGCCAGCAGCCGCGGUAAUACGAAGGUCCCAAGCGUUGUUCGGAAUCACUGGGCGUAAAGGGAGCGUAGGCGGUUAGGUAAGUCAGAUGUGAAAUCCCGGGGCUCAACCUCGGAACUGCAUUUGAUACUGCCUGACUAGAGUAUUGGAGAGGUAACAGGAAUUCUCGGUGUAGCAGUGAAAUGCGUAGAGAUCGAGAGGAAGACCAAUGGCGAAGGCAUGUUACUGGACAAUUACUGACGCUGAGGCUCGAAGGCUAGGGGAGCGAAAGGGAUUAGAUACCCCCGUAGUCC
rnacentral:rRNA from 1 species